AUUGAACGCUGGCGGCAGGCCUAACACAUGCAAGUCGAGCGGAGCGGCGGACGGGUGAGUAAUGCCUAGGAAUCUGCCUGGUAGUGGGGGAUAACGUCCGGAAACGGGCGCUAAUACCGCAUACUAUCAGAUCAGCCUAGGUCGGAUUCGCUAGUUGGUGGGGUAAAGGGCUACCAAGGCGACGAUCCGUCACUGGUCUGAGUGGAUGAUCAGUCACAGUGGAACGGAGACACGGUCCAGACUACUACGGGAGGCAGCAGUGGGGAAUAUUGGGCAAUGGUGGAAAGCCUGAUCCAGCCAUGCGGCGUGUGUGAAGAAGGUCUUCGGAUUGUAAAGCACUUUAAGUUGGGAGGCGUUACCAACAGAAUAAGCACCGGCUAACUUCGUGCCAGCCGCCGCGGUAAUUC
rnacentral:rRNA from 1 species